UACGUAGGGGGCUAGCGUUAUCCGGAAUUACUGGGCGUAAAGGGUGCGUAGGUGGUUUCUUAAGUCAGAGGUGAAAGGCUACGGCUCAACCGUAGUAAGCCUUUGAAACUGGGAAACUUGAGUGCAGGAGAGGAGAGUGGAAUUCCUAGUGUAGCGGUGAAAUGCGUAGAUAUUAGGAGGAACACCAGUUGCGAAGGCGGCUCUCUGGACUGUAACUGACGCUGAGGCACGAAAGCGUGGGGAGCAAACAGGAUUAGAUACCCCGGUAGUCCCUGAGCGGG
rnacentral:rRNA from 1 species